rnacentral:rRNA from 1 species
UACGAAGGGGGCUAGCGUUGCUCGGAAUCACUGGGCGUAAAGCGCACGUAGGCGGAUCGCUAAGUCAGGGGUGAAAUCCUGGAGCUCAACUCCAGAACUGCCUUUGAUACUGGCAAUCUCGAGUCCGGGAGAGGUGAGUGGAACUGCGAGUGUAGAGGUGAAAUUCGUAGAUAUUCGCAAGAACACCAGUGGCGAAGGCGGCUCACUGGCCCGGUACUGACGCUGAGGCGCGAAAGCGUGGGGAGCAAACAGG